rnacentral:rRNA from 1 species
CCCUAAGGCCACACCACCCUGAAAAAGCCCGAUCUUGUCUGAUCUCGGAAGCUAAGCAGGGUCAGGCUCCGCUAGUAUUUGGAUGGGAGACAGCCUGGGAAUCCCAGGUGCUGUAGGCU